UACGGGGGGAGCAAGCGUUGUUCGGAUUUACUGGGCGUAAAGGGUGCGUAGGCGGGUUUUUAAGUCAGGGGUGAAAUCCUGGAGCUCAACUCCAGAACUGCCUUUGAUACUGAAGAUCUUGAGUCCGGGAGAGGUGAGUGGAACUGCGAGUGUAGAGGUGAAAUUCGUAGAUAUUCGCAAGAACACCAGUGGCGAAGGCGGCUCACUGGCCCGGUACUGACGCUGAGGCACGAAAGCGUGGGGAGCAAACAGG
rnacentral:rRNA from 1 species